rnacentral:lncRNA from 1 species
CUGGACUGAAGAGAAGAAGACACUGAGUACCAGCGUCAUCUCUCUCUGCUUCCUGACUGCAGAAGCAAGUGUUAGGUUUAGCUUCUCGUGCAUAAUAGGAAAGUGGUUUACCACCGGGCUACAUUCCCAGCCCACAGACACCUGAAAUCUUGCAAUGAACUAGGAAGAUAAACCACUGGUGAGUCUGGAGCCUAGAGCGCUUUCAAGGCAAGAGUGGGGAAGGUCUUCAGAAAGGAGGAAGAAGAAGAGGAGGAAGAUGGU